rnacentral:rRNA from 1 species
UACGGAGGGGGCAAGCGUUAUUCGGAAUUAUUGGGCGUAAAGGGCGCGUAGGCGGCUAGAUGUGUCAAAGGUGAAAUCCCUCGGCUCAACUGAGGAACUGCCUUUGAAACUGUCUGGCUUGAGGCCGGGAGAGGGUAGCGGAAUUCCCAGUGUAGCGGUGAAAUGCGUAGAGAUGUGGAGGAACACCAGUGGCGAAGGCGGCUUCCUGGACCGACACUGACGCUGAGGCGCGAAAGCUAGGGGAGCAAACGGG